AAAAAAAAAAAAAAAAAAAAAUUUGUUCAACAUUGAAAUGGUAAUUCAUACAAACUAUUUCAUAGAUGGCUAUAAUCUCAGUCACAGUUAAGAGCACCAAUCAAUACUUCAAUAACAGAUUUGCUUUUGUUUACAAGUAUUAGAUAACAUCCUCUGAACAGUCACUGAAGGUCAUUUAAUUACAUAUUGCCAGGUACAUGCCUAAAUGCUUUAUAAGAUUAUCCUCAGGACAUGCCUAUGAAAUCUAUUAUAAUCCUCAUUUUACACACAAGUGAAAAAUCAGAAGUCCAAAGAAAUAAAGUAACCUGUCCAAGAGCACAGAAUGUUAGAACCAAGAUUUGACCAAGCUGAACUCGAGGAAUUAGCUCCCCAGUCUCCAGGAAAGAUAUGUACCAAAAGAGACUGAACAAAACACCUGGCUGUUCUUCACAUUGGUUCUUUGCAUGAAGUCUCAAAGAAAAGUGCUCUACCGUGUAUUCAAAUGAAGAUUUUUUUGUUUUGCAUAGUUAAUUGAGAGAAAGGGAAACCAUUAAAUUGCAGGCCAGCCAAAAUUCACACUGCUCUUUUCCUUUAAUCAACUUAUAAAGAACUCACUUGAAGAUUUCAUUAUACCAAAAUUUAAAAAUAAUUCCAAAAUAGCAUGAAAGUUUACUUUUCUCUCCCUCCCCUCCCCCCACUGGAUACUUCUUACACAAGAAUGUUUCCUCGUCAAAAGGAUUAAUGAGCACCCUGAUUCUAGAUUUUUAAAUAAGUAUAUUUCCAUGAUAAGUUACAAUAUAAAAGGGAGGGAAAGAUUUUGCUUAAUGUAUACAUGCACAUCUCUACAGAGAUCUGGAAAAGAAUUAAUUAAUAUAUAUCAAAAGGUUAACAGGGGUUAUCAGUGGGCAGCAGUAUUUCAGGUGUUUCUUUUUUGUUUUUUCUAUUUUUUCUCCGAGAAAUGUGGAAUUAAAGGGGGAGGAGAGGGUAAAGAAGAAAAA
rnacentral:lncRNA from 1 species